UUCAGGUUCUCCUAUUGGUGCACCUAACUGACCUCUUGCCAUGUGGCAAUAUAAAAAAUGAUCUGUAUUGUACCGAUCUACAAGCGAAGCAUCAUUUCAGAUUAGAUCGGGUGAAUACCAACCUCAUAUCAAUGAACAGUUGAUCUGACUACAUCUACAUGCAGUUGACAUUAGAAGGAUAUACCGACCUUCUGCAGGCAUCAAUAAAAUCCC
rnacentral:lncRNA from 1 species